GGGGACGUAAUGGUUUCGACAGGGGUAGUUGUGGCAUGGGUAGCGAGCCGGGGUUCCAUCUGCCCGUCAAGACGGUGGAAAAUAGUAAACGCAAACAACGAUUACGCUUUAGCAGCUUAAUGCUAACGUUCUACUCUCCCACUUCCUGCGGGGCGGGAUAGGACGUCACAUAGCGGGAUACCUGAGGCUCAAUUCUCGGAGAGCCGACUGGGAAACUUUAUCGAGAUAGUACUAGCGAAGCCUGUCUGUGGGCGUCAACGGUGCGAAUUUUAAAUCACAGAAUGCGCUCGGAGAAGCCUAUGUAGCAAUACUUUUGGACAGGAGUUCGAUUCUCCUCGUCUCCACCA
rnacentral:tmRNA from 2 species